rnacentral:lncRNA from 1 species
UUUUUCUCUUCCGAACUUGCUUUAGUUCCAAGCUUUUCUUAAAACGUGUUCCUUCUACUCUCACUGUGCUUCAAAUCAGUUUCUUCACUCUAUUUUCUUCAAAUUUGCUAUUGUAUAUGUUUUUUUUCUCAUGAGUCUCUGAAACAGAUCUCUGAGCCCGUUUCAACUACUUGUCUCCUCGUCUCUAUAUCUGAUUCGACUUAGAAACCCUGGAAUUUGGGGGGAGG